rnacentral:lncRNA from 1 species
GAAAUAAAUAGGGUAGGUAGGUAAGGAUUUCUUUUAAUAUUUGUUUUACAUUGAGUCUAUGGGAAAAACAAUGUGAAUUUGACAGUGCUUAGAUAUCAAAAAUGGUCAAACCAAAAAAAGAUUAGGGUAGGUGGCGGUAGAAUAAACACACAUACUUUUUUGUUUGACUUGAUCAAUUCAAUGUGCAAACAUGUCAAAACAAAUAUGUGUGUAUUAACAUCAGAGAUCAAAGAUUAUUUCUGUGAGGGAAGAGGGUUAUAUGUACGUGCCUUAUUCAUCAUUACAUUUGUUUUUUUUUUGUAUUUCUAACACUACAAUCAUAAUAAGUUUCAAAGGGUAAUAGCCCAUCGUUAUUAAAUACAUAUUCAUUCAAAUCAAAAUGCUCAACCUAUUAUGACAGUAUGACUUGUAGGCAAAUAUUUAAGAAAAUGUUCUCUUAAAAGUUUGCUAUAUGCAGUAUAGUUUCUGUUCAUUGUUGUGGUUAGUACGGUUAGGUAUAGCUGUUAACCUCUACGUCACAUGUUUUUUAUAGGAGAGUUAUCUCUUUAUAAAUCUUACCACUUC